GAUGAACGCUGGCGGCGUGCCUAAUACAUGCAAGUCGAGCGAACAGAUGAGGAGCUUGCUCCUCUGACGUCAGCGGCGGACGGGUGAGUAACACGUGGAUAACCUACCUAUAAGACUGGGAUAACUUCGGGAAACCGGAGCUAAUACCGGAUAAUAUAUUGAACCGCAUGGUUCAAUAGUGAAAGACGGUUUUGCUGUCACUUAUGGAUGGAUCCGCGCCGCAUUAGCUAGUUGGUAAGGUAACGGCUUACCAAGGCAACGAUGCGUAGCCGACCUGAGAGGGUGAUCGGCCACACUGGAACUGAGACACGGUCCAGACUCCUACGGGAGGCAGCAGUAGGGAAUCUUCCGCAAUGGGCGAAAGCCUGACGGAGCAACGCCGCGUGAGUGAUGAAGGUCUUCGGAUCGUAAAACUCUGUUAUUAGGGAAGAACAAAUGUGUAAGUAACUAUGCACGUCUUGACGGUACCUAAUCAGAAAGCCACGGCUAACUACGUG
rnacentral:rRNA from 1 species